UGACAACCAGAAAAAUAUUAAUGGCACUUACAAACCACCAAGAAUUCUUUUUAAGUGAAAUAGUUUGGCUUUAUUUUGACAGAAAUUGUCAUCAUUAAAAUUACUGAAUGAUAUUUCCCGUUAUUAAUUCUUCAGUCUGGGUGGCCAAUAACUGUUAUCCAUCUGGCACCUGGUAAUCACAGCAGAGGGAGGUAGACAAGAAGAUGAGGCUUGGGCAGAAAAAAGAGCCAGAGGGAAAGAAACCUACUCCGGAGGAUGAGGGGAGGCUAUUAAAUGGUACAUCAUUGUGUUAUUUUAUUAAGAUUUUUUUUGGGGGGGUGGGUAGGUACAAUCCAUAUAGUAAUUCCUUACUUUGGGUUCUUUUAAUACACAAAAGAUUGUUAGUACAAUAAGAAAAGAUCUUGUAAAUAAUACUGCUUUGUUUUUGUUAUGCAACUCAAUAUUUUCCUAAAUAAUGGCAUUUGAAGAAAUUCUGUAAUUAAGUAGCAGAUUAAAAUAUUUAGUAAAUAAGGCAGGUAGCAAUGAAAAUCUGUGAUUUUCAAAACUUGAGUAAAAGUUUUAGAAUGAACAGAUGCAGAGCGAUUGUAAACACAAUAAUGAUCCUCAUAAUAAUGGCUUCCAUAUUAAUAAGAAUAACUGGAAAACCUCACAGCCAGCCGCUCAUCAUCAUAAACAUAAGUAAUUUCAAAUAAUUGUCAUCUAUUUACUCUUUCAGAUUAAUUAUUCAUUGUUACUUUUCUAAUUAAAAGAUAAGACUUUUUUUAAAACCUCAGUUUAGUUUUUUCUUUUGACUAGGUAAAAAUGAAAGGUGUUGAGUAGAGUUAGAGGUUGAAAUUCUGAGUUUAUAUAUUACAAUUUGUAGAACAUCAAAGAAAAAAAAGCAUAC
rnacentral:lncRNA from 1 species